GACGAACGCUGGCGGCGUGCUUAACACAUGCAAGUCGAACGGAAAGGCCCUGCUUGUAGGGUGUUCGCGAGGCGAAAGCGUGUGUAACACGCGGGAGUAACCUGCCCUACACCUGGGUAUACCUUCGGAAAUCGGGGUCUAAUCGCGGAUAAGCGCUCCUGCUGCAGGGGGGUGGAUGGAUUUUUCGGUGGGGGAUGGACUCGCGGCCUAUCAGCUUGUUGGUGGGGUAGUGGCUUACCAAGGCUGUGACGGGUAGCCGGCCUGAGAGGGUGGGCGGCCACAUUGGGACUGAGAUACGGCCCAGACUCCUACGGGAGGCAGCAGUGGGGAAUAUUGCACAAUGGGCGGAAGCCUGAUGCAGCAACGCCGCGUGCGGGAUGACGGCCUUCGGGUUGUAAACCGCUUUCGCCUGGGACGAAGCGUUAGUGAACGUAACGGGUAAAGAAGGACCGGCUAACUACGGU
rnacentral:rRNA from 1 species